GAUGAACGCUGGCGGCGUGCUUAACACAUGCAAGUCGAACGAUGAAGCCCAGCUUGCUGGGUGGAUUAGUGGCGAACGGGUGAGUAACACGUGAGUAACCUGCCCUCAACUCUGGGAUAAGCCUGGGAAACUGGGUCUAAUACCGGAUAGGAGCGCCCCCCGCACGUUGGGUGUUGGAAAGAUUUAUCGGUUUUGGAUGGACUCGCGGCCUAUCAGCUUGUUGGUGAGGUAAUGGCUCACCAAGGCGACGACGGGUAGCCGGCCUGAGAGGGUGACCGGCCACACUGGGACUGAGACACGGCCCAGACUCCUACGGGAGGCAGCAGUGGGGAAUAUUGCACAAUGGGCGGAAGCCUGAUGCAGCGACGCCGCGUGAGGGAUGACGGCCUUCGGGUUGUAAACCUCUUUCAGUAGGGAAGAAGCGAAAGUGACGGUACCUGCAGAAGAAGCACCGGCUAACUACGUG
rnacentral:rRNA from 1 species